rnacentral:rRNA from 1 species
AGUGAACGCUGGCGGUAGGCCUAACACAUGCAAGUCGAACGGCAGCACAGUAAGAGCUUGCUCUUACGGGUGGCGAGUGGCGGACGGGUGAGGAAUACAUCGGAAUCUACUUUUUCGUGGGGGAUAACGUAGGGAAACUUACGCUAAUAUCGCAUACGACCUACGGGUGAAAGCAGGGGAUCUUCGGACCUUGCGCGAUUGAAUGAGCCGAUGUCGGAUUAGCUAGUUGGCGGGGUAAAGGCCCACCAAGGCGACGCUCCGUAGCUGGUCUGAGAGGAUGAUCAGCCACACUGGAACUGAGACACGGUCCAGACUCCUACGGGAGGCAGCAGUGGGGAAUAUUGGACAAUGGGCGCAAGCCUGAUCCAGCCAUACCGCGUGGGUGAAGAAGGCCUUCGGGUUGUAAAGCCCUUUUGUUGGGAAAGAAAAGCAGCAGGUUAAUACCCCGCUGUUCUGACGGUACCCAAAGAAUAAGCACCGGCUAACUUCGUG